CCUGGCUCAGAUUGAACGCUAGCGGCAGGCUUAAUACAUGCAAGUCGAGGGGACAGCACGGUUAGACAUAACUGGUGGCGACCGGCGCACGGGUGCGUAACACGUAUACAAUCUACCUUAAACAGGGGGAUAGCCUUUCGAAAGAGAGAUUAAUACCCCGUAAUAAAUUGAACGGCAUCGUUUGAUUUUGAAAGCUCCGGCGGUUUGAGAUGAGUAUGCGUCUGAUUAGCUAGUUGGUGAGGUAACGGCUCACCAAGGCGACGAUCAGUAGGGGACCUGAGAGGACUAACCCCCACACUGGUACUGAGACACGGACCAGACUCCUACGGGAGGCAGCAGUAAGGAAUAUUGGUCAAUGGAGGCAACUCUGAACCAGCCAUGCCGCGUGCAGGAUGACGGCCCUAUGGGUUGUAAACUGCUUUUAUACAAGAGAAAACCCUGGUACGUGUACCAAGUUGAUAGUAUUGUAAGAAUAAGCAUCGGCUAACUUCGUG
rnacentral:rRNA from 1 species